ensembl:snRNA U6 U6 spliceosomal RNA
GUGCUCACUUCAGCAGCACAUAUACUAAAAUUGGAACAAUACAGAUAAGAUUAGCAUGGCUCCUAAGCAAGGAUACCAUAAAUUUGUGAAGCAUUCCAUAUUUUU